rnacentral:rRNA from 1 species
UACGAAGGGGGCUAGCGUUGUUCGGAAUUACUGGGCGUAAAGCGCACGUAGGCGGACUAUUAAGUCAGGGGUGAAAUCCCGGGGCUCAACCCCGGAACUGCCUUUGAUACUGGUAGUCUCGAGUCCGGAAGAGGUGAGUGGAAUUCCGAGUGUAGAGGUGAAAUUCGUAGAUAUUCGGAGGAACACCAGUGGCGAAGGCGGCUCACUGGUCCGGUACUGACGCUGAGGUGCGAAAGCCAGGGGAGCAAACGGG